AUUGAACGCUGGCGGCAUGCUUUACACAUGCAAGUCGAACGGCAGCACGGGUGCUUGCACCUGGUGGCGAGUGGCGGACGGUGAGUAAUACAUCGGAACGUGUCCAGAAGAGGGGGAUAACGCAUCGAAAGAUGUGCUAAUACCGCAUAUACUCUAAGGAGGAAAGCAGGGGAUCGAAAGACCUUGCGCUUUUGGAGCGGCCGAUGUCUGAUUAGCUAGUUGGUGGGGUAAUGGCCUACCAAGGCGACGAUCAGUAGUUGGUCUGAGAGGACGACCAGCCACACUGGGACUGAGACACGGCCCAGACUCCUACGGGAGGCAGCAGUGGGGAAUUUUGGACAAUGGGCGCAAGCCUGAUCCAGCAAUGCCGCGUGAGUGAAGAAGGCCUUCGGGUUGUAAAGCUCUUUCAGUCGAGAAGAAAAGGCUGCAGUGAAUAACUGUAGUUUAUGACGGUAUCGACAGAAGAAGCACCGGCUAACUACGUG
rnacentral:rRNA from 1 species